rnacentral:rRNA from 1 species
UACGUAGGUGGCAAGCGUUGUCCGGAAUUACUGGGUGUAAAGCGCGUGUAGGCGGGAGGCCAAGUCUGCUGUGAAAUCGCCCGGCUCAACUGGGCGGGGUCGGUUGAAACUGGUCACCUGGAGGACGGUAGAGGCGAGUGGAAUUCCCGGUGUAGUGGUGAAAUGCGUAGAGAUCGGGAGGAACACCAGUGGCGAAGGCGGCUCGCUGGGCCGGACCUGACGCUGAGACGCGAAGGCGUGGGGAGCGAACGGG